GAUGAACGCUGGCGGCGUGCUUAACACAUGCAAGUCGAGCGAAGCGCUAAAGCGGAUUUCUUCGGAAUGAAGCUUUAGUGACUGAGCGGCGGACGGGUGAGUAACGCGUGGGUAACCUGCCUCAUACAGGGGGAUAACAGUUGGAAACGGCUGCUAAUACCGCAUAAGCGCACAGUACCGCAUGGUACGGUGUGAAAAACUCCGGUGGUAUGAGAUGGACCCGCGUCUGAUUAGGUAGUUGGUGGGGUAACGGCCUACCAAGCCGACGAUCAGUAGCCGACCUGAGAGGGUGACCGGCCACAUUGGGACUGAGACACGGCCCAAACUCCUACGGGAGGCAGCAGUGGGGAAUAUUGCACAAUGGGGGACCUGAUGCAGCGACGCCGCGUGAGCGAAGAAGUAUUUCGGUAUGUAAAGCUCUAUCAGCAGGGAAGAAAA
rnacentral:rRNA from 1 species